UAUCUUCGGGGCAGGGUGAAAUUCCCGACCGACGGUGAUGAGUUAUAUACUCAAAGUCCGUGACCCUACUACGGUAGGUUGAUUUGGUGAAAUUCCAAAACCGACAGUAAAGUCUGGAUGGGAGAAGAUG
rnacentral:ncRNA from 1 species